AUUGAACGCUGGCGGAAUGCUUUACACAUGCAAGUCGAACGGUAGAGGGGGCAACCCCUUGAGAGUGGCGAACGGGUGAGUAAUAUAUCGGAACGUGCCCAGUCGUGGGGAUAACGUAGCGAAAGUUACGCUAAUACCGCAUACGAUCUAAGGAUGAAAGCGGGGGAUCGCAAGACCUCGCGCGAUUGGAGCGGCCGAUAUCAGAUUAGGUAGUUGGUGGGGUAAAGGCUCACCAAGCCAACGAUCUGUAGCUGGUCUGAGAGGACGACCAGCCACACUGGAACUGAGACACGGUCCAGACUCCUACGGGAGGCAGCAGUGGGGAAUUUUGGACAAUGGACGCAAGUCUGAUCCAGCCAUUCCGCGUGCAGGAUGAAGGCCCUCGGGUUGUAAACUGCUUUUGUACGGAACGAAAAGGUUUCUCUUAAUACGAGGAGCUCAUGACGGUACCGUAAGAAUAAGCACCGGCUAACUACGUGCCAGCAGCCGCGGUAAUGUGU
rnacentral:rRNA from 1 species